rnacentral:tRNA from 1 species
GCGGGAUUGGUGUAGUGGCAACAUGCCUCUCUCCAAAAGAGGCGACGGGGGUUCAAUUCCUCCAUCCCGUGCCA